GAGAAAUGAAACAGCUCUCUCUCUCUCUCUCUCUCUCUCUCUCUCUCUCUCUCUCUGUGUGUGUGUGUGUGUGAGAGAGAGAGAGAGAGAGAGAGAGAGAGAAGCUAGUUUUCAGAG
rnacentral:miRNA from 1 species